rnacentral:lncRNA from 1 species
GUAACCUGACAUUUAACUUAAUUACAAUAUUUUUAUCUGAAGAAACAACAUGGAAUGGUUUUAAUGUUUACCUGUAAAAAUGGCUCUAAUAUUUUUAGACAGGCUUUUAUAAUGCAUCUGCAUGAGUCUUUUCAUUUUUUUUAUUCUCUCCUCCCCAGGUUAAACUUGAACUCCAUAGUCAUUGAUGAUGUGAAAAGAUAUAAAGACAUCCAGCAACUUUGCAAGAUGACACUCCAUGGAGCAUGUUAAGGAGCUCUAGAGAACGUAAGGGUGGCACACAGAGAACGAGGCGCGCUUCUGAACUGCUCUUGACUGCCGUGAGAUGUCCCACUGAAGCUGAUGUGUAUGUUAAAAGACUUCAAGCUGAUCACUCCUUUAAGGAAGAGAGGGCAACAAGAACUGAAGCAACUCUUAACACCUAGGACUAGUUUAAGUGGAAGGAAGACUGUGACCCAAGCAUUCGAAAUCCAUGGAACACAUCCUCAGAAACGAGUGUGGUGCUUCUCCAGCCUGUUCCAGAAAGAAUCAAGAAGAUGGUCUGGCUUGCAGGAUUAUUUGAAAGCUGCGCAGACCUCAAAAAGGAGCUCUCUAUGUGGGACCAGGACAAUACCAGAAAGAAGGAGAGAAUCUGAGAUUCAGGUACCAUUAACGUGCUUGGCUGGGACCAUCCACUCCUCCCACAGACCAGAGGACAUGGGGAGGCCUGUUCUGCUGUCUUCCCCAAGCUGUACGAGGCCAGCUCCUGGGAGCUACUGCUGUUCCACUUGA